UAUCACAAUCACUGAUCUAUUUUGCCCUGAGAUUUACAGCUAAUAUAUUUUUUAAAUAUAUUUUUUUAAAAAUAGAAAUUAGAAAUAAUAGAUCAAAUGCGUUCUUUUGGGAAAAACCCACCUUUUUUUCUAUUUUCGUAUAAUACCAAUGUUAGAGAAAAAUGCACAGGUAUUUUUUUCUUCAAUACCUACAAGAAAGAAUAGGAAUCAUAAUAGGAAAAAUCUGCCAUACAAUUUUGGGAUAGUUUCGGUCCCACGAGAUUUGACCUGAACCCACAUUUUCAACGACCAUCUGCUCCUGGAUCACAUACUUCAUAUAUAUUUUUCUCAGAGCACGAAGCUCUGUGCAACAGACCGACCAUACCUAACCUCUUGAUCUCAGGAAGCCAAAACGUAGCUGCCUCUUGUAGCAAAGAGAAGCCAGGAGUCUCGAAUAUAAACACAACGGUCGAAGACACGUUAUAACUGCCGCGAUACGAAACGAGAACGACGACGAUGACUACGACGGAUUUAAGCCACGAUACUUGAAUCAGUUCUCCCUCUCUAUUUUUCUCUCUCCUUUUCUUUUUCGGCCCUCUUCCUGUACGCCGUUUAUCCGUCUCCCUUCUAUGAAUGAAUUCGAGAACGUAAAACAAAGUUCAUCUCGUCUCGCCGCGCAUCCGCCUAUUUUCGGUUCAGACGCGCGCCCUUCGACUUUCGUUAGGGGAGAAAAUUAUUUCGGUCGAGGCGAGCUCUUUUCUCCGAGAGAGAACCGCCUCUCAUCCUGCUUUAUUUCAUAUUGAACGAUUAACACCAGGGACAAACGCGGCCAAUCGUCCUUCAAUCGUUUCUCUUUCCUUUGAAUCGAAAGAAAAAAAAAAUCGAAAAAAAUAUUUCGAGAGAGAAAUGAACCAAGCACGAAUGGCGAAUAAGUAGUCGGUGGCUGGAGGUUGCCGUGGGUCAGCGAGAUUGCUGCAUUCGUGCAGCGUGUGCACGAGAAACGAAAAAUUAUUGCAUAUAUCUUGCAUAUAGAAGGCUCGUAUUCGAAUAGCUUGCGAGAAUGAGACGAAGCAGCAACAGCGUCAGGAAGAGUGGGAGAUGGAGGAAGAGAGAAAGAGAUGAAUAGGUAAGAGAGAAAGAGAAAAAGAACGGAGAAAUGGACGUAGUACAGCGUCCAUCGUAUACGGAGUACAGAGGUAUCAGACCAGGAAACAAAGGAACGACCUAACAGAGAGCAACGCGGAACAAACGAUAUAGACACGGGUCAAGUAUUCACGAAGUUCAAUGAAACACUGUUCUUUUAUAGAUUGAGAAAAUUUAAACGAAUGAAAUAUCUUUCCACGAAACAAGCAUGGUCGCAAAUUCCUUCGAACGAUAGGAGAACCAGCGAUAAUCGCGAUAAAUAGCGAUCAAGGCGAAGAGGCAGGGCUCCUUUCGAUCGAGCGUGCACGCACGAUCGCACUUAUUCUAUGCAGCCAUUGUGUUCCCUUCUCUCGAAAGAAGCAGCGAGAUUCGUCAUGAAUACGAACAACCUGCCGUAUUCUCAAACAUUUUUUCAUGUCUAAAUACCUGCAUUAGCGCGUGUAUAAAUAUCGACAAACAUAUAGCGAAAUAAAUUUUUCAAUCGAAGUAUUUAUAUAAUUAUCAACUACUCGAAUUGUGAAAUAAUAAUCGUUCGCGAUUCAAGAUUCAAUAGAUUUAAAGUUACGCGCCAAUAUAGAUCGAGUUAUCGUAAAAAUACUCGUGAAUUUUUUAUUAUCGAGUCGCUAAUAAAUUUAUAAUUUUUGUCUUAUAUCAAUCUUAUAUCAAAUUUUACUCACCAUGAUGUAUGAAUAAAUUAUAUUUUUUUAGUAGAAACUUUAACAGGAAACUUCGCUGAACAUCCAAGGAUCCACUGACGAAAAAAAACACGCGACACUAACAACUUUUCUUUGAAAAGUAUUCUUACGAAUAAUAAUAUGCACCGCUAUCGAAAGAAAAAUUUAAUAAUUUAUCGUAAUUGAGAUACUGAAGAAAAAAGAAAAAAAACGUAGAAAAUAAAAAAUCA